GGUGGGGUAGCGAAGUGGCCAAACGCAUUAGACUGUAAAUCUAACGGCUCACGCCUUCGAAGGUUCGAAUCCUUCCCCCACCACCA
rnacentral:tRNA from 1 species